rnacentral:rRNA from 1 species
UACGUAGGGUGCGAACGUUGUCCGGAAUUAUUGGGGCGUAAAAGGGACGUCUCUGAUGAGGCCGGGUUUCGUCGGUCCGGCUCGGGGAUCGGAUUGAAACCCGUUGGGGAAACCUUUGGGAACCUUUCAACCGGUGACGCUUUGGCCGGGGUCCGGAAUUAACCGGGGGGCCAAUUCGAACCUUUGGGAAGGUUUUCCGGGGCCAA